CAGUCGCCGCGGUAAUACGUAGGUCCCGAGCGUUGUCCGGAUUUAUUAGGCGUAAAGCGAGCGCAGGCGGUUAGAUAAGUCUGAAGUUAAAGGCUGUGGCUUAACCAUAGUACGCUUUGGAAACUGUUUGACUUGAGUGCAAGAGGGGAGAGUGGAAUUCCAUGUGUAGCGGUGAAAUGCGUAGAUAUAUGGAGGAACACCGGUGGCGAAAGCGGCUCUCUGGCUUGUAACUGACGCUGAGGCUCGAAAGCGUGGGGAGCAAACAGGAUUAGAGACCCGCGUAGUCCCUGUCUCUUAUACA
rnacentral:rRNA from 1 species